CAGGGAGCUGAAGUCUGGAGUCUGUCUCGUCAAAAUUGUUGACCAUUUUCACCAUUAGGAGGCUCCUCUGCCUACAAGAAAGGUGGCUGUGUCAGUUUCCUGAGGACACAGAUCUUCCAGAGUCAUCUCUGAAUCUCCAUGGACAACUACAUCUUCCUGGAAUAUAAUAGAGGCU
rnacentral:lncRNA from 14 species